rnacentral:rRNA from 1 species
GACGAACGCUGGCGGCGUGCUUAACACAUGCAAGUCGAACGGAAAGGCCCUGCUUUUGUGGGGUGCUCGAGUGGCGAACGGGUGAGUAACACGUGAGUAACCUGCCCUUGACUUUGGGAUAACUUCAGGAAACUUGGGCUAAUACCGGAUCGGAGCUCCUGCUGCAUGGUGGGGGUUGGAAAGUUUCGGCGGUUGGGGCUGGACUCGCGGCUUAUCAGCUUGUGGGUGGGGUAGUGGCUUACCAAGGCUUUGACGGGUAGCCGGCCUGAGAGGGUGACCGGCCACAUUGGGACUGAGAGACGGACCAGACUGCUAUGGGAGGCAGCAGUGGGGAAUAUUGCCCAAUGGGCGGAAGCCUGAUGCAGCAACGCCGCGUGCGGGAUGACGGCCUUCGGGUUGUAAACCGCUUUCGCCUGUGACGAAGCGUGAGUGACGGUAAUGGAUAAAGAAGCACCGGCUAACUACGUG